AAAGCUCAAAUUUAAAAUCUGGUGGUCUUUUGGCUAUCCGAGUUGUAAUCUAGAGAAGUGUUAUCCGCGCUGGACCGUGUACAAGUCUCCUGGAACGGAGCGUCAUAGAGGGUGAGAAUCCCGUCUCUGACACGGGACUACCAGGGCUUUGUGAUGCGCUCUCAAAGAGUCGAGUUGUUUGGGAAUGCAGCUCUAAAUGGGUGGUAAAUUCCAUCUAAAGCUAAAUAUUGGCGAGAGACCGAUAGCGAA
rnacentral:rRNA from 1 species